rnacentral:rRNA from 1 species
AUUGAACGCUGGCGGCAUGCUUUACACAUGCAAGUCGAACGGUAACAGGCCGCAAGGUGCUGACGAGUGGCGAACGGGUGAGUAAUGCAUCGGAACGUGCCCAGUCGUGGGGGAUAACGCAGCGAAAGCUGCGCUAAUACCGCAUACGAUCUAUGGAUGAAAGCGGGGGACCGUAAGGCCUCGCGCGAUUGGAGCGGCCGAUGUCCGAUUAGGUAGUUGGUGGGGUAAAGGCUCACCAAGCCAACGAUCUGUAGCUGGUCUGAGAGGACGACCAGCCACACUGAGACUGAGGAACGGGCCAGAAUACUAAGUGAGGAAGCAGUGGGGAAUUUUGGAUAAGGGGCGCAAGCCUGAUCCAGCAAUGCCGCGUGCAGGAAGAAGGCCUUCGUGCUGUAAACUGCUUUUGUACGGAGCGAAAAGGCUCUCUCUAAUACAGGGCGCUCAUGACGGUACCGUAAGAAUAAGCACCGGCUAACUACGUGCCAGCCGCCGCGGUAAAAC